AACGAACGCUGGCGGCAUGCCUAACACAUGCAAGUCGAACGAUUGCCUUCGGGUGAUAGUGGCGCACGGGUGCGUAACGCGUGGGAAUCUGCCCUUAGGUUCGGAAUAACAGCUGGAAACGGCUGCUGAUACCGGAUGAUAUCGCGAGAUCAAAGAUUUAUCGCCUGAGGAUGAGCCCGCGUUGGAUUAGGUAGUUGGUGGGGUAAAGGCCUACCAAGCCGACGAUCCAUAGCUGGUCUGAGAGGAUGAUCAGCCACACUGGGACUGAGACACGGCCCAGACUCCUACGGGAGGCAGCAGUGGGGAAUAUUGGACAAUGGGCGCAAGCCUGAUCCAGCAAUGCCGCGUGAGUGAUGAAGGCCCUAGGGUUGUAAAGCUCUUUUACCCGGGAAGAUAAUGACUGUACCGGGAGAAUAAGCCCCGGCUAACUCCGUG
rnacentral:rRNA from 1 species